rnacentral:rRNA from 1 species
UAAUACGGAGGGUGCAAGCGUUAAUCGGAAUUACUGGGCGUAAAGCGUGCGUAGGCGGCUCGCUAAGUCAGAUGUGAAAGCCCUGGGCUCAACCUGGGAACGGCAUUUGAAACUGGCAAGCUAGAGUUUAAGAGAGGUAAGUGGAAUUUCAGGUGUAGCGGUGAAAUGCGUAGAGAUCUGAAGGAACACCAGUGGCGAAGGCGACUUACUGGCUUAAAACUGACGCUGAGGUACGAAAGCGUGGGUAGCAAACAGG